rnacentral:rRNA from 1 species
UACGAAGGGUGCAAGCGUUACUCGGAAUUACUGGGCGUAAAGCGUGCGCAGGCGGUUUGCUAAGACAGGUGUGAAAUCCCCGGGCUUAACCUGGGAACUGCGCUUGUUACUGGCAGGCUUGAGUGUGGCAGAGGGGGGUGGAAUUCCACGUGUAGCAGUGAAAUGCGUAGAGAUGUGGAGGAACACCGAUGGCGAAGGCAGCCCCCUGGGCUAACACUGACGCCUCAUGCACGAAAGCGUGGGGAGCAAACAGG